rfam:Candidatus Kaiserbacteria bacterium RIFCSPHIGHO2_01_FTLL_54_36b rifcsphigho2_01_scaffold_21431, whole genome shotgun sequence.
AGCCUAACCCCAUCGAGAAUAGCUUGCUGGGUAUGGCGAAGGCAGCCGCUACAGUGCAAAAAACUCCUCGUCCGGAGUCACUGUAGCGGUCGUAUCCUCGAAAGGGGUUAUGGGCUUAGCCGAAAGGCUGAGUC